rnacentral:rRNA from 1 species
GCCUCGUGGCGGCUGCCUUACCAUGCAAGUCGAACGGUAACAGGGAGCUUGCUCCGCUGACGAGUGGCGAACGGGUGAGUAAUACAUCGGAACGUGCCCAGUAAUGGGGGAUAGCUCGGCGAAAGCCGGAUUAAUACCGCAUACGCCCUGAGGGGGAAAGUGGGGGACCGCAAGGCCUCACGUUAUUGGAGCGGCCGAUGGCUGAUUAGCUAGUUGGUAGGGUAAAGGCCUACCAAGGCGACGAUCAGUAGCUGGUCUGAGAGGACGAUCAGCCACACUGGGACUGAGACACGGCCCAGACUCCUACGGGAGGCAGCAGUGGGGAAUUUUGGACAAUGGGGGAAACCCUGAUCCAGCAAUGCCGCGUGUGCGAAGAAGGCCUUCGGGUUGUAAAGCACUUUUGUCAGGGAAGAAAUCCUUUGGGCUAAUACCCUAGGGGGAUGACGGUACCUGAAGAAUAAGCACCGGCUAACUACGUGCCAGCAGCCGCGGUAAUACGUAGGGUGCAAGCGUUAAUCGGAAUUACUGGGCGUAAAGCGUGCGCAGGCGGUUGUGUAAGACAGGUGUGAAAUCCCCGGGCUUAACCUGGGAAUUGCAUUUGUGACUGCAC